rnacentral:rRNA from 1 species
UGCAAGUCGAGCGGUAGAAGGAAGCUUGCUUCCUUUGAGAGCGGCGGACGGGUGAGUAAUGCCUAGGAAUCUGCCUGGUAGUGGGGGAUAACGUUCGGAAACGAACGCUAAUACCGCGUACGUCCUACGGGAGAAAGCAGGGGACCUUCGGGCCUUGCGCUAUCAGAUGAGCCUAGGUCGGAUUAGCUUGUUGGUGAGGUAAUGGCUCACCAAGGCAACGAUCCGUAACUGGUCUGAGAGGAUGAUCAGUCACACUGGAACUGAGACACGGUCCAGACUCCUACGGGAGGCAGCAGUGGGGAAUAUUGGACAAUGGGGGAAACCCUGAUCCAGCCAUGCCGCGUGUGUGAAGAAGGUCUUAGGAUUGUAAAGCACUUUAAGUUGGGAGGAAGGGUUGCAGCCUAAUACGCUGUAACUUUGACGUUACCGACAGAAUAAGCACCGGCUAACUCUGUGCCAGCAGCCGCGGUAAUACAGAGGGUGCAAGCGUUAAUCGGAAUUACUGGGCGUAAAGCGCGCGUAGGUGGCAAGGUAAGAUGGGUGUGAAAUCCCCGGGCUCAACCUGGGAACUGCAUCCAUAACUGCUUCGCUAGAGUACAGUAGAGGGUAGUGGAAUUUCCUGUGUAGCGGUGAAAUGCGUAKAUAUAGGAAGGAACACCAUUGGCGAAGGCGACUACCUGGACUGAUACUGACACUGAGGUGCGAAAGCGUGGGGAG